GAUGAACGCUGGCGGCGUGCCUAAUACAUGCCAGUCGAGCGAACAGACGAGGAUCUUGCUCCUCUGACGUUAGCGGCGGACGGGUGAGUAACACGUGGAUAACCUACCUAUAAGACUGGGAUAACUUCGGGAAACCGGAGCAAAUACCGGGUAAUAUAUUUAACCGCAUGGGUCAAUAAUGAAAGACGGUUUUGCUGUCACUUAUAGAUGGAUCCGCGCCGCGUUGGGUAGUUGGUAAGGUAACGGCUUACCAAGGCAACGAUGGGUAGCCGAGCCGAGAGGGGGAAGGCCCCCUGUGGGACUGAGCGACCGCACAGGCUCUUACGGGCGGCAGCAGCAGCGAAGGGUCCGAACUGGGCGAAAUCUUGCCGGAGGAACGCCGCGUGGGUGCUGAAGGUCCUCGGAUCGUAAAACUCUGUUAUUAGGGAAGAACAAAUGUGUAAGUAACUAUGCACGGCUUGACGGUAGCUAAUCAGAAAGCCACGGCUAACUACGUG
rnacentral:rRNA from 1 species